rnacentral:rRNA from 1 species
AGGGAACCUGACCCGUCCUGAAACACGGACCAAGGAGUCUAGCACGUGCGCGAGUCAAAGGGUUGGCUAAACCCCCAGGCGCAAACGAAAGUGAAUAAGCGACGACGGCGGUUUUUCCGGCGCCGCCGCGAGGGCCGAUCUGUUGCUUAUCGAAGGUAGGUCGAGGUUAGGCUCGUCCGACCCCUCGGCUCUUCGAGUCCAAUAGCGCGGCGCAGGCCCGGGGCUCGCCGUUUACCCUCCCCGUCUCUUCAUUGCGGCGCGGGACGGGCGGCGGGUACCUUGAGCGCACUUGUUAGUACCCGAAAGAUGGUGAACUAUGCCUGGCCAGGAUGAAGCCAGAGGAAACUCUGGUGGAGGUCCGUAGCGAUUCUGACGUGCAAAUCGAUCGUCAGAGCUGGUAU